rnacentral:lncRNA from 1 species
CAGAGAUCGGGAAUCCUCUCAGUCCUUAGUUACAAGGCUCCAUCCUCACUUUGUUCGCUCCUCAGUCGUCCAGGCGGAUUCCUUUUUCGCCAGGCACCAAGGCACAGCUUAGAGUAGACCCGAGUCCUGCUCUGCGGAGUUCGUCUUCCCAGCGAAGGUACAGAGGCGGAUGAACUGCUGAGACUUGACAGGGUCUGGCUCUGUCACCCAGGCUGGAGUGCAGUGGCACGAUCUUGGCUCACAACUACCUCCGCCUCCCCAGGCUUAAGCAAUCCUCCCACCUCAGCCUCCCAAGUAGCUGAAACUACAGGUGUGCGCCAUCACCCCCAGAUCAAAAGCUGAGUGAAGCAGUGGUCCAGCUGGAAUUCAACACCUGAGAUAUCUGACUCCAGAUACCAGCCCUUCCUUGCUUCCCACUAGCUGCCUAACCCAGAGAGGAGAUUGGGAAAAGAGAAACAAGUUACAGAAUUCAAGACCUCCACCCAGGAACUGACUCAGCGCAAGAAGACAGCUUCGACUCUGUAUGAGUUCAUCUCCAACCUGACCAAUCAGCACUCCCGGCUCACUGGCUUCCCCCCAUCCACCAAGUUGUCCUUAAAACUCUGCUCCCCGAAUGCUUGGGGAGACUUAUUUGAGUAAUAAUAAAACUCUGUUCUUCUGCACAGC